GUUCUGCUACGGCGUUGGUGACUGCCAAUAACGUUUUAUGAUCUAUGCCUUGUGAAUAAGGGAACCUCAAGAGUCUGGUGGCAGUAGACCGGGCAUGUACCCGGAAACUUUAAACCAAGACAACUGGUGCCCACCUGGUUUAUACCAGGUCAAAAACUGAGGUAAGACGGCGUCGUGGGGAACUC
rnacentral:other from 1 species